rnacentral:rRNA from 1 species
CACGUAGGGCGCAAGCGUUGUCCGGAAUUAUUGGGCGUAAAGAGCUCGUAGGCGGUCUGUUGCGUCCGCUGUGAAAACUCGGGGCUUAACCCCGAGCCUGCAGUGGAUACGGGCAGACUAGAGUGCAGUAGGGGGAGACUGGAAUUCCUGGUGUAGCGGUGAAAUGCGCAGAUAUCAGGAGGAACACCGAUGGCGAAGGCAGGUCUCUGGGCUGUAACUGACGUGAGGAGCGAAAAGCAUGGGGGAGCGAACAGG